rnacentral:sRNA from 1 species
CACUAACCCUGUAUCUAUCCUUCGUAUCUGAUAUUAAUCUCAAAUGUUAUUGUACCUUGAUGGCUAGCUUGGCAGAGUUGAUCAUGGGCUCCAAGUUUGAAUCAUCGAUCCAUCCAUCCUUCGCAUGGUGCAAAAUUUCCUCUGGCAAGAUCCGAGCCAGUUUGUUUUUGAAUAAUGGGGAGUAGGAGGCACAUUUGCUGUUUUCCCACGGAGUACUCCGUAGCUACUUAUAUUGGUCCUUUUAUUCAGCACACUGCUGACCCGGGUGCCUAGGUACCUGGACGGCGGAAGCGAGUUGGAGGACGGAGACGUGCGUAUCUCAGGGAGGCUGGUGCCUGCGCGUAGUUCCCUCUCACACGGCGAGCUGGCCAGAACGAAUAUUCUGUUUCAUUUCCAUGGAAGAAUGCCGUCACCGAUAUGAUCUUCUUCUCGGGGAAAGCUGAAAAGAAAAGAUUUGUGAACAUUUCCGGGGCUGUGAGAUUUUACGAGGACUACACAGAAUAAUUUCGUGCUGAUGGCUGGCUGGCUGGCUGGCUGGCUGACUGACUGAUUUUGUUGCUUGGUGUUUGUAUUUUUACAAAUCAAGGCUCGUGAUGCUCGAGUCAGGGAUGAAUUUAGAUAUCAAGAGUAGCACAGAUGGGUUUAGUACGCAGUAGGUCAGUUUCUUAUUUUUAGAUGCCCGCGCCAUGCAGAAAUGAGAGAGAAAACACGAGGGUGAUCGAGGUUCUGUUCGAAGAAAGGGUGACUUUUUUUUUUCUUUUUCAAACCCUUUUGCUCCCUCAUUUUUCGUUCUCCUCAACUCCAGAAGUAAACAAAUGAGUC